AUGGGUGCCGUUAUUGCUAAACGAUUAAGUCUGAACCGUACAAAGGGCCCCAUUUUUGGAGGUAUCUAUGAUGCACGCCUUGCUAAAUAUUUCGAGAUACCUAUUAGGCAUUAUGAGAAAGAGGAAAAACUGCUACCUCCUACUUUUCUAAAUUAUAGGAGCAUGGUAGCACAUGAGUUUAUUGUUAACAAUGAUGAUAAGAUGCUUCUGUAUAACCUAAGAUUUAAUAAGAAACACAAUGAGACUAUUAUCUUGCCUGCGCCUUCUUUGUUUGAUUUAACUACAUGCUAUUACCUCAUUUCGCUGGAGGCCAUUUACGCGCACUGA
rnacentral:rRNA from 1 species